GAACCGAUUAGAUCAUGCUGCAUAACCAAAAUUUGACUGCAGUUCGCAGCAUUUCUUCAAAAAAACUCAUCAACUUAUCGAAUUUAUUGUUUCCGGGACUUGCAAAUUAAGUGAAAGCCAACGAGAAUGUCCAGCGAACCACACAGUCUAGGCAACACAAUGGCGGUUCAUCGAAAAGUUGGAAACUAUGAUGUAGCAGCUAUCUGUUUUUCAGCGGCUUUCCCAGUUUUUGAACCUGUCCUAGUUUACUGCUGUGUGUACCCAAGAAUAUUUCCAGCUUUCUUGUAUGCCUGUGGCUGCGGAUUUCUCAUCUCAGCUAUCAGUGCGGUGCCUGCGAUGUUCCCAGGUGUUAGAAUUCGGUGCAUUGGGACGCUCAGUGUUCGAGAACCAACAAUAAACCAGAAUGGACAAGGGAACCAAUGACCAAAUCCAACUACGUCGUCUCUUCAGUCGCGAUACGACCUAUUUGAAAAUGCAUAUCAAUGCUUAUUGUGCAUCACCUGAGAUGUUCCGAUUUUCUGGCCACCAAAAUCAGACACCCUCAACAAUGCCGCUUUGAACCUAGUGUCUUCGGUGAUGGGCCAAGUUGGGUUGUGCUGCUGAGGACCUCUGGAGGACAAAUCUGUGC